rnacentral:piRNA from 1 species
UGUCUCGCCAACUGCAAGCCA